rnacentral:lncRNA from 1 species
UCUAGAUCUUCAUUCAGUGGGAGAAACAUGGUAGAGUGUAUAUAUAACAUCUUACCUCAACCAGAAUCUGUAAAUAUCAGUUUUUGAUUAAAAAAAAUUUUUUUUGAGUUGGGGUCUCAUCUGUUGCACAGGCUGGAAAGCAGUGACACAAUCACAGCUCAUUGCAAUCUGAAACUCCUGGGCUCAUGCAAUCCUCUUGCCUCAACCUCCCAAGUAGCUGGGACUACCAGCGUGCACCACAAGGCUCAGAUAUGUCACCCACCCAAAAGGAAAGAGUCUCUACCUGGCCAGUUCCCCUACCGGCUACACCAGCUGUACCACAUCUGGUCCUCAACCUCAUGGAUGCACCUCUCUGCCAACCCACAGAUUAUUGAAACAAGCCAACUGCAUCCUCCUGCAGGGACCAGGGGCACCUCAACCUCUUGUUGCCACAAAGCCUGCCAUCCACAGCCUUGGCUGGUUUUCUCUGCCCCCCAGCACAACCCUGCAUGGCCCUGCACGGCGUGUGAUGCCCUCCUCCCCCAGGGUGUUAGUAGACGUGACUGAUGAGCUGCUGCCAAGGUCAUCUGUCCAGUGUUGGGCAUCGUGUGUUCAGCCAUCUCAUAUGCUUUAGGAUGGGACAUCCCUCCCUAACCAGUGGGAUAAAUAAGAGACCUUGGACUUCAUGCAAGCAGUUUAGUCCUGAGACGGCAACAAGGCGCAGAAUGAACACAGAGCAUGCUGCUCUCCUGGGUGACUCCAAAACAAGGUCGACCAGCAUGUGGCUGAGCCAAUGAACCCAGGCAAGAUGUGAAGAGACCUGCCCCUCCGGGAGCUGACGAACAUCGCCUUGUGCCUGCCUCCUCCUUGACAGCCCCUGAUUUAAUGCAGAGAUGGAGGCAGGGGAGCAUCUGAGUCUGUUCGGGUAGCAGCAAGACUCCUUCCCGCCCACACCAACCCCAGCUAGCCUCAGAGAAGGCUACACAGCCUUGCAGAGGAGAAGGGGCUGUGAAAUCUGCUGGAUUCAUUCCUUUCAAAGCACUUUACCAAUGUGCACACACAGGCCCUCCAUUCUCUCAGGAAGAUCAAAAAGCAGCCCAGAUAAGCUGAGAUGGAUGAGUCUCUCUAGAACAGUGCACGAUACCUAGGGUGAUCAAUAAAGUGUUUGUAGAAUAAGCAAGUGAAUUAAUAAAUAUGUGAAUGAAUGAAACCAUUUUUUUGAAAAUGACUUCCGUUGAGUUCCACAGAGCAGAAUUUGAAAACUCAGUGAUUUGUCAGUUGUUGCCAACCCAUCUCCGUGGUUCAAAAUAAGCACUAAUUCUCACACGCGCAGAUUCACAGGUGACUCAUGGCUCUGCGACCCGGGCUCUGCGACAUGGGCUCUGCUGGAUAGGGUGCAGGCUGUGGAUUGGGCUCAGAUCUGCUCCACACGUGUGCGCACUGGACCGAGUAUCAAGGGACAGUAGCUCCUGUUAUAAAGAGAGCACACGCUCAUCACAGCAGAUCCCCAGGAGCAAGAGUGAGCCAAGCUGCACAUUUAAUCCCUUUGCUCUCAUCACUUCUGCUGACUUCCAAAUGGUCAAAGCAAGUCACACAGCCAAACAUCAGCAGGGUGGGAAGUGUUCUCCACCUGCAGUGUGAAGGGGAGAGAGUGAAUAUUUGCUUAAUGAUAAUCUAAACUGUCACAAAAACCCUGGCCCUAGAGAGUGGCUCGACCAGCUUUAAUGUUGUGAUGGGUCACAAUCUAAGAGGCUCUGAGAUUGCUAUUGUUUAAAAUUAAUUAAUAAAUGAAAAUAAAUGCCAGAAUCUGACAUGCCCUGAGGGAUGAGUCACAGUGACAGCUAGUGCAGGCGCACCCCACAGCCAUCUGCCAG